rnacentral:rRNA from 1 species
GACGAAGGGGGCUAGCGUUGUUCGGAAUUACUGGGCGUAAAGCGCGCGUAGGCGGCUCUUCAAGUCAGGCGUGAAAGCCCCGGGCUUAACCCGGGAAUAGCGCUUGAUACUGUUGGGCUUGAGUCCGGGAGAGGAUAGUGGAAUUCCCAGUGUAGAGGUGAAAUUCGUAGAUAUUCGCAAGAAAAACAGUAGCGAAGACGGCUCACUGGCCCGAUACUGACGAUGAUGCACGAAAGCGUGGGGAGCAAACAGG